GAUGAACGCUGGCGGCGUGCCUAACACAUGCAAGUCGUACGAGCUCGAUCUUCGGAACGGGUUAGUGGCGCACGGUGAGUAACACGUAGGUGACCUACCCCCAGAGUGGGGGAUAACUUCUCGAAAGAGAGGCUAAUACCGCAUACACUCGGUCAUUCAUUUGGCCGAGCAAAGCUCCGGCGCUUUGGGACGGGCCUGCGUCCGAUUAGCUAGUUGGUAGGGUAAUGGCUUACCAAGGCUUUGAUCGGUAGCUGGUCUGAGAGGACGAUCAGCCACACUGGCACUGACACACGGGCCAGACUCCUACGGGAGGCAGCAGUGAGGAAUAUUGGGCAAUGGGCGAAAGCCUGACCCAGCAACGCCGCGUGAGGGAUGAAGGCCUUCGGGUUGUAAACCUCUUUCUGGAGAAGAGACAAGGACGGUAUCCCAGGAAUAAGUCUCGGCUAACUACGUGCCAGCAGCCGCGGUAAU
rnacentral:rRNA from 1 species